UCAAAGGUCCUUUUCAGGACCACCAUUUCCUCCACAGAAAAGCUAU
rfam:Lingula anatina scaffold38, whole genome shotgun sequence.